rnacentral:rRNA from 1 species
AGAUUGAACGCUGGCGGCAUGCCUAACACAUGCAAGUCGAACGGGAGUAGCAAUACUCUAGUGGCGGACGGGUGAGGAAUACGUAGGAAUUUGCCCUUAAGUGGGGGAUAACCCGGGGAAACCCGGAUUAAUACCGCAUGACCUCGAAAGAGCAAAGUGGGGGAUCGCAAGACCUCACGCUUUUGGAGAAGCCUACGUCGGAUUAGCUAGUUGGUGAGGUAAUGGCUCACCAAGGCGACGAUCCGUAACUGGUCUGAGAGGAUGAUCAGUCACACCGGAACUGAGACACGGUCCGGACUCCUACGGGAGGCAGCAGUGGGGAAUAUUGGACAAGUGGGCGCAAGCCUGAU